UUCUGAGUUGUGCAAUUGUAGGCAAGUUGCCUGUUUUUACUGUGUUUCCACAUCUGAGCUGUGUGAUCUUAGGCAAGGUGCCUGACCUGUAGGUACUUCCUCUCCUGAACUGUCCUAUCUUAGUCAAGGUGCCUGAACUCUCUGUGCUUCCCCUUAAGAGCUGUGUGAUCUUAGGCAAUUUGCAUGACCUCUCUGUGUUUCCACCUAUGAGCUGUAUGAACUUAGUUAAGGUGCCUGUCCUUUCUGUGCUUCCAUUUGACCUGUGUGAUUUUAGGCAAGUUACUUAACAACUCUGUGCUUCCAUAUGUGAGUUGUGUGCACUUAGGCAAGAUGCCUAACCUCUCUGUGUUUCCACAUGAGCUGUGUGUUCUUAGGCAUGUUGCCUAACCUCUCUGUGCUUCUAUAUGGGAGCUGUGUGAUCUUAGGCAAGUUGCGUAAACUCUCUGUGUUUCCAAAUUUGAGUUGUGUGAUCUUAGGCAAGCUUCCUGACCUCUCUGUGCUUACACUUCUGACUUGUGUCAUCUUAGGCAAGUUGCCUGUCCUCUCUGUUCUUCCAGCUCUGAGCUGAGUGAUCUUAGGCAAGUUACCUGAACUCUCUGUGCUACCACUUUGGAGCUGUGUGAUCCUAAGCAAGUAGCCUGACCUCUAGUGCUUUCUUUAUGAGCUGUGUGAUGUUUGGGAAGUUUUCUGGUAUCUGUGUGCUCUGUGAUCCACAUCUGAGCUGUGUGAUCUUAGGCAAUUCGUCUAACUUCUGUGCUUCCAUAUCUAAGCUGUGUGACCUUAGGCAAGUUGUGUAAAAUCUCUGUGCUUCCACUUCUGAGCUGUGUGAUCUUAGGCAAGGUGCCUGAUCUUUCUGGGCUUCCACUUCUGAGUCUCUUAUCUUAGGCAAGUUGUCUGACCUCUCUGUGCUUUCAACUUGGAGAUGUGUGAUGUUAGACUAGUUGCUACCUCUCUGUAUUUCCACUUUAGAGCACUGUGAUCUUAGUGAAGUUCCUGAUCUCUCUGUGCUUCUACUUCUGAGUUGUGUCAUCUCAGUCAAGUUGCCCGACCUCUGUGUGCUUCCACAUGUAAGCUGUGUGUUCUUAGGCAAGUUCCUGAACAUCUCUGUGCUUCCACAUCUGAGCUGUGUGAACCUGUGCAGGUUCCCUGACCUCUCUGUGCUUCCAGUUCUGAGCUGUGUGAUGUCAGGGAGGUUGCCUGACAUCUCUGUGCUUCCAAGUCUGAGCUCUGUGAUCUUAGGCACGUUGCCUAACCUCACUACGCUUCUACUUCUUAGCUUUGUGAUCUUAAGCAAGUUCCCUGACCUCUCUGUGCUUCCACUUCUGAGCUGUUUCAUCUUAGGCAAGUUGCCUGACCUCUCUGUUUCCAACACUGAGCUGUUUUCUCUUAGUCAUGAUGCCUGACCUCUCUGUGUUUCCAUUUAAGAGCUAUGUGAUCUUAGGCAAGUUUCCUGACCUUUCUGUGCUUCCACAUCUGAGCUGUGUGCUGGUAGGCAAGGUGACUAACCUCUCUGUGCUUCCAUUGCUGAGCUGUGUGAUCUUAGGCAAGUUGCCUGAGCUCUGUGUAUUUUGACUUAUGAGCUGUGUGACCUUAGAUAAAUUGUCUGACCUCUCUGUGCUUCCAUAUAUGAGCUCUGUGCUCUUAGGCAAGGUUUUAACCUCUCUGUACUUUCACUUUUGAGCUGUGUGAUCUUAGCCAAGUUGCCUAACCUCUCUGUGCUUCUACUUCUUAUCUGGGUGAUCAUAGCCAAGUUGCCUGACCUGUGUUCUUCCACCUCUGAACUUUGUGAUCUUAGCAAAGUUGCCUGAGUCUCUGUGUUUCCAUGUGAGCCCUAUGAUCUUAGGCAGGUUUUCUAACCACUCUGUGCUUCUACUUAAGAGCUGUGUGAUCUUAGCCAAGUUUCCUGACCUCUCUCUGCUUUCGCUUCUGAGCUGUACGAUGUUAGGCAGGUUUCCUGACCUCUCGGUGCUUCCACUUGUGAGCUGUAUGAUCUUAGGCAAGUUGCCUAACUUCUCUGUGCUUCAAUAUAUGAGCUCUUAGGUAAGGUCCCUAACCUCUCUGUGCUUCCACCUGUGAACUGUGUGAUUUCAGUCAAGUUGCCUGCCCUCUCUGUGCUUCCACUUUUGAGCUGUGUGAUGUUACACAAGUUACCUAACUUCUCUGUGCUUCCACUUCUGAGAUGUGUGAUCUUAAGCAAGUUUCCUGCCGUCAUUGUGCUUCCACUUUUGAGCUGUUAUCUUUUUUUUUUUUGCUGCAAAAAGCUUUAUUGUUUCCAUUUGGUCCAAGGCUUGAGAGGGCUCCAGGGUGUUAAAAAGCUGCCUAGUGGCUGCAGAGAGGGGCUUCAGGCAGCCCUGAUGUGAGGUGGGUUCUUCAGUGGCCACUGGUCUUCAGAAGCUCCUAGUCGUGCUUGAGGGUAAGCCUUUGAAGAGAUACUCACCCAACCCAGCCUGGGGACCAGCCAGCCUGCGGAGGUUGGUCCGGUGGUCACCCAUCUUCUUGAUGAGUUUCACUUCCUCAUCUAGGAAGUGGUUCUCCAGGAAGUCGCAGAUGUGGGGGGCUCCGCGGGCAGAAGCCAGGCCAUGCAGAUCCAGCGGGGCUUGAUUCAGGCUCUUCUCUACGAGAAGGGCGGCUUCCAUGGCCUCCUGGGUUUUACCCCACUCAUCUUGAGAUGGCUUCUGCACGUCCAGAAGAGGGCGCGGCCGCCACGCUGGUUUUGCAGUUUCAAGAGACGCUCCGCGCCCUCGCGCUUCUCCUUGGCCAAUUCGCGAAAAAAGUGACCCACACCCUCCAGGGCCACAUCGUCGUGGUCGAAAUAGAAGCCCAGAAAGAGGUAGGUGUAGGAGACCCCGCAGUUGCAUGUUAACCAGGCGGUUGACGGCGGCCUCCACCUCGGUAGAAUAAUUCUGACGAAUCUGGGAGCUCAUGAUUGGUCGGUAAUAAGGAGUUAAAAAAUGGUGGCUGGUCCCGGUGAUCGUGGAUAGCUGAGUGGCUGACUCCAGAGGUUGCGACUGGAAAAAAGGUUGGAGGGUGGUCGGAGGCUGGAGCAAGGGGUGUCCCUGGGUCUGUUCCGUCCAAGCACUGUUGAAGCAAGAGACAGAUCCGCGGGGCCGCCCAGCGCACUUCCUGAGCUGUGUUAUCUUAGUCAAAUUGCCUAACCCUCCGUGUUUCCACUUCUGAGCCAUGUGCUAUUAGGCUAAGUGCCCAAGCACUCUGUACUUCCACUGAUGUGCUGCGUGUUCUUAGGCUAAUUGCUUGACUUCUCUGUGCUUCCACUUAAGAGCUGUGUAGGCUGGUAGGCAAGGUGACUAACCACUUGUGUUUCCACUUCUGAGAUAUAUGAUUGUAGGCAAAUUUCCUGACCUCUCUGCGCGUCCACUUUUGAGCUGUGUGAUAUUGCACAAGUUACCUAACUUCUCUGUGCUUCCACUUCUGAGGUUUGUGAUCUUAAGCAAGUUUCCUGACCUCUUUGUUCUUCUAUUUAUGAGCUGUGUGCUCUUGGGCAAAGUGACAAAUUUCUCUGUGCUUCUACUUAAGAACUGUGUGAUCUUAGGCAAACUGCCUGACCUCUCUGUGAUUUCAGCUCUGAGCUCCAUGAUCUUUGGAAAAUUUCCUGACCCCUCCAUGCUCCCAUUUAGGAGCUGUGUGCUGCUAGGCAAGGUGACUAACCUCUAUGUGCCUCCACUUUCGAGAUGUGUGAUCUUAUGCAAGUUGCCUGGCCUCUCUGUACUGCCAAUAAAGUGCUGUUUGAUUUUAGGCAAAUGACCUGGACUCUCUGGGCUUCCACUUCUGAGCUAUGUGACCUUAAAUAAGUAGUCUGACCUCUGUGUUUCCACAUGUGAGCUGUGUGAUCUUAGAUAGGUUACAUGUCCUCUCUGUUUCCUCUUCUGUUCUGUGUUAUCUUAGGCAAGUUGCCUGACCACUCUAUGCUCCCAUAUCUGAGCUCUGUGAUCGUAGGAAAGUUGCCUAACAUCUCUGCACUUCCAUAUGUGAAUUGUGUGAUUUUAGGCAAUUCCCCUGAUCUGUCUGUGCUUUCACUUUUGAGCUGUGUGACCUUAGAAAUUUUACUAACCUCUAUGUGCUUCCACUUCUGAGCUGUGUGAUCUUAAGUAAGUUGCCUGUCAUCUUUUUGCUUCUCUUUCUGAGCUGUGUGAUCAUAGUCAAGUUGCCUAAGGGCUCUGUGUUUCCACUUCUGAGCUGUGUGCUGUUAGGGAAAAUGCGUAACCACCCUGUGCUUGCACUUGAGAGCUGUGUGUUCUUAGGCUAAUUGCUUGACCUCUCUGUGCUUCCAGCUCUGUUCUACAUCAUCUUCGGAACCUUUCCUGACCUCUCUGUUCUUCAUCUUAACAGCUGUAUGCUGGUAGGCAAGGUGACUGUCUACUCUGUGCUUCCACUUCUGAGAUGUUUGAUCUUAGGCAAGUUGACUGGCCUCUCUGUGCUUCUACAAAAGUGCUGUUUCAUCCUAGGCAAGUUGCCUGACCUCUCUGUGUUUAUACCUCUGACCUCUGAUCUUAGUCCAGUUUCCUGACUCUGUGCUUCCACUCUGAGCUGUGGGAUCAUAGACAAGUUUCUUGACCUCUCUGUACUUCCAUAUCUGAGCUGUGUGAUCUUAGCCAAGUUGCCUGACCACUCUGUGCUUCCACAUCUGAGCUGUGUGCUGGUAGGCAAGGUGACUAACCUCUCUGUGCUUCCAUUGCUGAGCUGUGUGAUCUUAGGCAAGUUGCCUGACCUCUGUGUAUUUUGACUUAUGAGCUGUGUGACCUUAGAUAAAUUGUGCUUCCAUAUAUGAGCUGUGUGCUCUUAGGCAAGGUUUUAACCUCUCUGUACUUUCACUUUUGAGCUGUGUGAUCUUAGCCAAGUUGCCUAAUCUCUCUGUGCUUCUACUUCUUAUCUGGGUGAUCAUAGCCAAGUUGCCUGACCUGUGUUCUUCCACCUCUGAACUUUGUGAUCUUAGCAAAGUUGCCUGACUCUCUGUGUUUCCAUGUGAGCCAUGUGAUCUUAGGCAGGUUUUCUAACCACUCUGUCCUACUUAUGAGCUGUGUGAUCUUACCAAGUUUCCUGACCCCUCUCUGCUUUCGCUUCUGAGCUGUACGAUGUUAGGCAAGUUUCCUGACCUCUUAAUGCUUCCACUUGUGAGCUGUGUGAUUUCAGUCAAAUUGCCUGCCCUCACUGUGCUUCCACUUGAGCUGGAUCAUCUUAGGAAAGUUGCCUAAGCUCUGUGUUGUUCCAUAUAUGAGCUCUGUGCUCUUAGGCAAGGUGCCUAACCUUUCUGUGAUUCCAUUUCUGAGCAGAGUGAUCUUAGGUUGCUUGACCUCUCUGUUCUUCCACUUCUGAGCUGUGUUAUGUUAGGCAAAUUGCCUAACUUCACUGUGUUUCCAUUUCUGAGCUGUGUGUUCUUAGGCAAGUUGCCUCAACUCUCUGUGCUUCCACUUCAGAGCUGUGUGAUCUUAUACACAGGUUGCCUGACUUCUACGUGCUUCCAUGUCUGAGCUCUGCGAUAUUAGGCAAGUUGCCUAACUUCUCUGUUUCUAAUUCUGAAGUUGUGAGUUCUUAGACAAGUCGCCCUACUUCUCUGUGCUUCUACCACUGAGCUGUGAGAUCUUAGGAAAGUUGCCUGACCUUCUGUGCUUCCAUUUCUGAGCUGUAUUAUCUUCGCAAAGUUGCCUUAUGUCUCUGUGCUUCCAGUUCUAAGCUGUGUGAUUUUAAGCAUGUUACCUGCCCUCUUUUUGCCUCCACUUCCGAGCUGUGUGAUAUCAGGCAUUUAUUGGCAAACCUUUCUGUGCUUCUGUGUAUGAACUGUGUGGUCUUAGGCAAAGUGCCUAACAUCUCUGUGCUUCCAUUUCUGAGCUGUGUGAUCCUAAGCAAGUUGCCUGACCUCUUGGUCCUUCCAUUUUUGUGUCGUGUGAUCUAUUGAAAAUGCCUAACCUCUCUGUGCUUCUAUGUAUGAGCUGUGUGCUCUUAGCAAAGUGUGUAACUUCUUUCUGCUUCCACUUAAGAGCUAUGUAAUCUUAAGGAAAUUGCCUAACCUUUCUGUGCUUCCAGCGCUGAGCUACAUGAUCCUAGGAAAAUUUGCUGACUUCUCUGUGCUUCCACUUAUGAGUUGUGUGCUGGUAGGCAACGUGAUUAACCUCUCUUUGCUUCCACAUCUGAGCUAUGUGAUCUUAAGCAAGAUGCCUGACCUCUCUGUGUUUCCAGUCUGAGAUGUUUCAUCUUAGGCAAGUUGCCUGAUCUUUCUGUGAUUCCGCUAUUGAGCUGUGAGAUCUUGGUCAAGUUGCCUGACAUCUCUGUUCUUUUCCUUGUGAACUGUGUAAUCUUAGGCAAGUUGCCUGACCUCUCUGUGCUUCCACUUUGGAACUGUCUUCCAAUGAAAGUUGCAUGAACUCUCUAUGAUUCUGCUUCUUGAGCUAUGUGACCUUAGUCAAGUUGUCUGACAUCUCUGUUUUUAAACCUCUGAGCUGCUGCUGCUGCUGCUGCUAAGUCGCUUCAGUUGUGUCCGACUCUGUGCAACCCCAUAGACGGCAGCCCACCAGGCUCUGCUGUCCCUGGGAUUCUCCAGGCAAGAACACUGGAGUGGGUUGCCAUUUCCUUCUCCAAUGCAGGAAAGUGAAAAGUGAAAGUGAAUUCGCUCAGUCGUGUCCGACUCUUCGUGACCCCAUGGACUGCAGCCCACCAGACUCCUCUAUCCAUGGGAUUUUUCAGUUGUGUAACCUUAGGCAAGUUGCCACCUGAUGCGAAGAACGGACUCAUUGGAAAAGACUCUGAUGCUGGGAAAGAUUGAGGGCAGGAAGAUCAGAGGACAACAGAGGAUGAGAUGGUCGGAUGGCAUCACUGACUCAAUGGACAUGAGUUUGAGCAAGCUCCCGGAGUUGGUGAUGGACAGGGAAGCUUGGCGUGUUGCAGUACAUGGGGUUGUAAAGUAUCAGACAUGAGUGAGCAACUGAACUGAACUGAACUGAACAAAGACCUAGAAGAAAUAAAAAUGAACAGAGAUGAACAACACAAUUGCUGAAAUUAAAAAUACUCUAGAAGGAAACAAUAACAAUAACUGAGGCAGAAAAUGGUUGAAAUAACUGCUGAAGAUCAGAAUAGAGGAAAAAGAAUGGAAAGAAUAGAGGAUAGUCUGAGAGUCCUUUAGGACAAUAUUAAAUGCAGUGAGAUUCGAAUUAUAGGGGUCCCAAAGAGGAAGGACUUCCAAGGUUCCUCUAGUGGUAAAGAACCCAGAUGUCAAUGCCAGAGACAUAAGGGACACUGGUUCAAUCCAUGGGUCAGGAAGAUCCCCUGGAGAAGGGAAUGGCAACUCACUCCAGUAUUUUGGCCUGGAGAAUCUCAUGGACAAAGGAGCCUGGUGGGCUACAGUCCAUGGGGUUGCACAGAGUUGGACCUGAGUGAAGGGACUUAGUACACAAAGAAGAGAAAAAGAAAGGGUCUGAGAAAAUUUUUGAAGAGAUUAUAGUCGAAUACUUUCCCAACUUGGGAAAGGAAAUAGUCAAUUCGGAGGAGAGCCAAUGCUCUCAUUCAAGAUAAAUCAAAAGAGAAAUACACCGAGACACAUACUAAUCACACUAAACAAAGAUUAAACACAAAGAAAGAAUAUUAAAAGCAGCAAGGGAAAAGCAACAAGUAACACACAAGUGAAAACCCAUAUGAUUGACAGGUGAUCUUUUAGCAGAAACUCUGCAGGCCAGGAGGGAAUGGCAGGAUAUAUUUAAGGUACUGAAAGGAAAAAAAUCUACAACCAAUAAUAGUCUACCCAGCAAGGAUGUUAUUCAAAAUUGAUGGAGAAAUACAAAGCUUUACAGAAAAGCAGAAGUUAAGAGAAUUUAGCACUACCAAACCAAUUUUACAACAAAUGUUAAAGGGACUUCUAUAGGCAUGAAACAUGAGGGAAGGAAAAGAUCUGCAAAAACAAAUGGAAAACAAUUAAAUGCCAAUAGGAACAUAUAUAUCAAUAAUUAUUUUAAAUAUAAAUGGAUUAUGUGCUCCAACCAAAAGACAAAGACUGGCUGAGGAAUACAGAAACAAGACCCACAUAUAUUGCUGUCUAUGAGAGAUGCACUUCAGACCUAAAGACACAUACAGACUGAAAGUGAGAGAGUGGAAAAAGCUAUUCCAAUCCAAAUAUAAAUCAAAAGAAAACCAGAGUGGCUAUUCUCAUAUCAGACAGAAUAGACCUUAAAAUAUAAAAUAUUAUAAAAGAUAAAGGACAUUCCCUAAUGAUCAAGGCAUCAGACUGAGAAGGUAACAGGUAGGAAGGCUAGGGGUCCCCAAGUGGAGGAAAUAGACUGCAAAUGUCAGACUUUUUUUUUUUUUUUUCUCUCUCAAGCAGCAGGAGGAAACAAACUACAAAUGUCAGACAUUUUUUCCCCUUCUCUAUACAAAAUUAAAAGGUUUCUGUGUUGCCAUGACAACACCUGGUUCCACCUAAACGUAACUUUUCUCAAACCUUGCGCUAACCAAUGCAUUUUUCUUAUGGAUAUGUUUUCUGUAAGCUAUGUUAAUGAGCUAUGUAUUUACCUUAGAAUCUACCUUUCUUCAAGUCAGUUCCGCCUAAGACUCAGAACUAAUAAUGGCUCAACAAACCAGCAGGUUUUACUCGUGGAAAUAUUCUCUUAAGCUAUGUUUAUAAAACUACGUAUUUGCUUGGAAAUCUGUCUUUCCUCAAGAUUCAUGUCAAUUGUUUUAUGGCCCAGGAUGACUCACCUUAUGCCGAGGCUAUCUCAAAAUGCAUGUUGUGGCUGAGAGGCCUGGAGCCACUUUCUCAAUUUUGAGGCAUUUACUUUCUCUAAUUAGCAGCUUGCCAAUAGGUAUGUACCUCCUUGCUAAAAACUAGCAAGGGGACACUCUUUCUGCCCCCUUCUGAUAUCUAUGUCAAAAGCUUUCUCUAUCUCUUUUAUACUUUAAUAAAAC
ensembl:lncRNA